rnacentral:rRNA from 1 species
AGAGUUUGAUCCUGGCUCAGAAUGAACGCUGGCGGCGUGCUUUACACAUGCAAGUUGAGCGAGGCCGGUAGCAAUACCGAGUCGAGCGGCGAACGGGUGAGUAACGCGUGGAUAACCUGCCCUGAGGUGGGGAAUAACCCGGGGAAACUCGGGCUAAUACCGCAUGAUACCGAGAGGUCAAAGAGGGCUCGCAAGGGCUCUUGCCACAGGAGGGGUCCGCGUUCGAUUAGCUAGUUGGUAGGGUAAUGGCCUACCAAGGCGACGAUCGAUAGCCGGCCUGAGAGGGUGAUCGGCCACACUGGAACUGAGACACGGUCCAGACUCCUACGGGAGGCAGCAGUGGGGAAUUUUGCGCAAUGGGCUAACGCCUGACGCAGCAACGCCGCGUGGAGGAUGAAGGUCUUUGGAUUGUAAACUCCUGUCAGCAGGGAAAAAGGGAUAGGGCCUAAUACGUCCUAAACUUGAUUGUACCUGCAGAGGAAGCCCCGGCUAACUCUGUGCCAGCAGCCGCGGUAAUACAGAGGGGGCAAGCGUUAUUCGGAAUUAUUGGGCGUAAAGGGCGCGUAGGCGGCUUUUCAAGUGACGGGUGAAAUCCCUCGGCUUAACCGAGGAACUGCCUGUCAGACUGGAAGGCUUGAGACCGGGAGAGGUGAGUGGAAUUCCCAGUGUAGCGGUGAAAUGCGUAGAUAUUGGGAGGAACACCAGUGGCGAAGGCGGCUCACUGGACCGGAACUGACGCUGAGG